rnacentral:lncRNA from 1 species
GGGCACCGAAGAAGCAAGCCACAACCCCAUGGCACACCCUGCAAGGGGGACAAGGGAACUUUUCCCGUUUCAUUACCACAUGUGGCUAUUGAGCAUUGAAAUGUGGCUAGUCUGAAAUUAGAUAUGCUACAGGUGUCAUAUUUACACCAAGGUUUGAAGACUUGAUAUGGGAAAAGGAAUGUAACAUAUUCCAUUAGUAAAAUUUAUAUUGAUUACAUCUUGGAAUCUAUGUUUUAGAUAUAUUGGGUUAAAAUUACUCAAUUACUAAAAGUAAUUUCACCUCUUUUUUUUUUUUUUUUUUUGAGACAGAGUCUCACUCCGUCUCCCAGACUGGAGUGCAGUAGUGUGAUCUCAGCUCACUGCAACCUCCACCAGUUGAAGUGAUUUUCUUGCCUCAGCCUUCCGAGUAGCUGGGACUACAGGUGCAUGCCACCACACCUGGCUAGUUUUUGUAUUUUAGUAGAGACAAAGUUUCAUCCUGUUGGCCAGGCUGAUCUUGAACUCCUGACCUUAAGUGAUCUGCCCGCCUCAUCCUCCCAAAGUGCUGGGAUUACAGGCACGAGCCACUGUGCCCAACCCACCUGUUUCUUUUUACUUUUUAACACAGCUGCUAGAAAAUUUCGAGUAAUGCAUGUGGGUGACUCACAUUAUAUUUUUUGGAUAGCAUAGGUCUACAGAGCAGCUAGCGUAAAGAAGGAAAGAGAAAGGGGAUCUUGGAGCUCUUCUAAAACCUGGGAUGUCUCUGCCUGUUAAUAAGAAGAGUGACAGCUUUCACAGUGACUCACAACUUUCAGGAUGCUCUGAUUCUGGGCAACGUUUUUUGAGAAGCUGGACACACUGGGCCUGAGGAGCAUCUUUGGUGCUCUUGAGUACAAGUUUCUGAUAACUUUGGAGAUUGUGACAUCAGAAUAGAGGAAAAACUUUUAGGACUCAUGGAGAAGUGAAAUGUUCAUGAACAUCAGGCAGAACAGGAAUUAACUGCAUGGACAGAACUAAUACAAAACUGAGGACAUGAGACUUCACAACCUGCUAAAAAUGAACUUUCCUAAUAACUGGGGACCUACCCGUCUAGGAAUAAACCAUCCUAGCCAUGACAGAUCAGAUGAAACCUGAGACCAGAGACUCAUUUUCUCCUAAAAUGCUUUCUCCAAAAGAUUUUUAAAAAGAAAAGGGGGAAAAUAUGAAUGGAAAAUAAAUCUUGGGGCCCCAACAUCACUAAGCUAAAGGGAAAAGUCAAGCUGGGAACUGCUUAGGGCCAACCUGCCUCCCAUUCUAUUCAAAGUCACCUCUCUGCUCACUGAGAUAAGUGUAUAUCUGACUGCCUCAUUUGGAGAGGCUAAUCAGAAACUCAAAAGAAUGCAACCAUUUGUCUCUUAUCUACCUAUGACCUGGAAACCCCCUCCGCACUUUGAGUUGUCCCACCUGUGAAAGGAAAAUAAAUCUUGGGGCCCCCAAAUCACUAAGCUAAAGGGAAAAGUCAAGCUGAGAACUGCUUAGGGCCAACCAUCCUCUCAUUCUAUUCACAGUCACCCCUCUGCUCACUGAGAUAGAUGCUAUCUGAUUGCCUCCUUUGGAAAGGCUAAGCAGAAACUCAAAAGAAUGCAACUUUCCAUCUCUCACCUAUCUGUGACCUGGAAGCCCAGUCCCUGCUUUGAGUCUUCCUGCCUUUGCUUCAAGCUGUCCCGCCUUUCCAGACCAAACCAAUGUACUUCUUACAUAUAUUGAUGUCUCAUGUCUCAUGUCUCCCUAAAAUGUAUAAAACUAAACUGUGCCCCUACCACCUUGGGCACAUGUCGUCAGGACUUCCUGAGGCUGUGUCAUGGGCACAUCCUCUACCCUGGCAAAAUAAACUUUCUAAAUUAACUGGGACCUACCUCAAAUUAUCUGGGUUCACACGCCUUUGCCUCGAGUUGUCCCACCUUUCCGGACUGAACCAAUGUACAUCUUAACACAUACUGAUUGAUGUCUAAUGUCUCUCUAAAAUGUAUAAAACCAAGCUGUGCUCUGACCACCUUAGGCACUUGUCAUCAGGAUCUCCUGAGGCCAUAUUAUGGGUGCACGUCCUCAACCUUGGCAAAAUAAGCUUUCUAAAUUAACUGAGACGUGUCUCAGAUUUUCGGGAUUCACAAUCUCCACUCUUCACCAAACCUACAAUAAAAAACCCUCAGCUUCUCAGCUUUAACUGUUUCUUCGGGUCUUCAUUUUCUUAUGAAGGUUCAUGUGUCACAUAAAACUUUAAAAAAUUUGUACACUUUUCUCUCAUUAAUCUGUCUUCUGUUAUAGGGCCUCAGCCAUGAACUUGGAAUGGGUAGAUUAAAAAAAAUAUUUUUCCUCCCCUACACAUUUUUUUUUUUUUUUUUGAGACGGAGUCUCAGUCUGUUGACCAGGCUCAAGUGCAAUGGCGUGGUCUUGGCUCACUGCAACCUCUGCCUCCCAGUUUAAGCAAUUAUCCUGCCUCAGCCUCCUGACUAGCUGGGACUACAGGCGCGUGCCACCACACCUGGCUAAUUUUUUUGUAUUUUUAGUAGAGAUCGGGUUUCAUCAUGUUGGCCAGGCUGGUCUUGAACUCCUGACCUCAUGAUCCGCCCGCCUCGGCCUCGCAAAGUGCUGAGAUUACAGGCGUGAGCCACCACACCUGGCCCUCCCCUACACAUUUCUAAGUAUCUUACCUGAUUUUCUAUGGCACCUUUGGGUUGCAGAACCUUAGCUGUAGGAGAAAUGGUGGUGACGGCCAAUGUCUGGCACUGACUUUAACAGAGUACAGAUGUGUAUGUAAAUAGUACUUAUUUUAACAAAAUAGAAAGUUCAAGAAAGAAAUACAGCAACAAAAGUGACAAUUAGAUUGGAAGAGACCCAUUCUUGUUUGCUUGUUUUCUCCAUAAGCCAUCUAGCUUUUUUUUUUUUUUUUGUGAGACGGUCUCACUGUCUCCCAGGCUGGAGUGCAGUGGUGCCAUCACAGCUCACCUCAGCCUUGACCUCCCAGGCUCAAGUGAUCCUCCCACCUUAGCCUCUCAAGUAGCUGGAAGUAUAGGCAUGUACCACCAUGCCCAGCUAAUUUUUUUUUAUUUUUCAUGGAGACAGGGUCUCACUAUAUUGCCCAAGCCAGUCUUGAAUUCCUGGGCUGAAGCGAUCCUCCUGCCUCAGCCUCCCAAAAUGUUGGGAUUAUAGUCAUGAGCUACCAUGCCCAGCCCUAACUCCAUUCUUAAUUGUCACUUAGCCUACACUUUCACUUCAUUGACAUUUAUAGGCUGACAACAAGCAGAUGAAGAUACCAUUGAAACAGUGCCACCACUCACCCAACUGUCCUGUCAGUCAGGAAAAGCACAUCCCCACUGGGUCUCAGAGCUCUCGGCCCGUUGUCUUUGCACUGUGUGACCACACACAAAACCAGGUAAAGUAUUUACCUGCUUUGUUCAGGAGGCUGUCCUUGGCUCUCUAGUUUCUGAUAGGACCCCAUUUUAAACUCUCAAGCCCCCUUGUCCUUGUUCUUUGAUAGUGUCAUAGCCUCUAAACAUAUCACAAUUAUUAAUAUAAUUAAAUACUUAUUUCCCUAUAGAUUUGUUUAAAGCCUGCCUUCCCCCAAGAGAUGGUCAGGUCUGAAGGCAGGUUUGUUACAGAUGACAGGCUCUUGGGCUCAUCAUGUAAUAAAAGUUAACAUGGGGACAAGCAGAUUUCCAGAAAAGGCUUUUAUCUUGGGGCUUGUGCUCGAGUGCAGGGGAGACACCAGAGGUACAAGGACCCUCAAGCUGACUCCCUGAAAAGGUGGUAGGGAUUUUUUUUAUUAGGCAAACACAGGAAUUGGUAUCAUGGGUAGGGUAUGCAGGCUGGCCUGGGCAAAGCACGUGACGGGUAGGGGAUGCUGGUUAGCGUAUCUAGUUGUGAUGGUUAUCUUGAGUAAUGGGCCACCUGGGGGUCUGGCCAGCUGUAACAAGGCUGCAAAUCAAUUGUUCAGGGUUCCUUCCCUUCCCAUGAUGGGACAUUCUGAAACCUCGGUUUGAUGUUUAGAUUUCCUAAGGCCAGUUCCUGGAAUUCUUUUAAGUAAAAGGCAUGAUUAAACAUUAUGAGAGCACAGAAGAAUGGCUAUUUUCUUUGUAAGCCUGAAGCCUUAUCUAAAACCAAUUGUCAGCAAGGCAGGGGUGUGGGUCUUGUGAUCAGUGAGACAAGAAGAAAAAAAAAAACGUGAAAAAGGAACUGAGUUCCUUUUCUAUUCUAUCUGAGGUUACUCCCCACUGCACCCCCGGCACCUGACAUUGUGAGAGGCAUUUGAACCAGAGUGACUCCAUCUUGAAUAGGGGCUGGGUAAAAUGAAUCUGAGACCUACUGGGCUGCAUUCCCAGGAGGUUAGGCAUUCUUAGUCACAGGAUGAGAUAGGAGGUUGGCAGGACUGGUAUCACAAGAUACAGGUCAUAAAAACUCUGACCAUAAAACAAGAUGUGGUAUAGAAGCCAGCCAAAACCAAGAUGGUGAGAAAAGUGACCUCUAGUCAUCCUCACUGCUCAUUAUACUCAAAUUAUAAUGCAUUAGCAUGCUUAAAGAAAUUUCCACUAGCACCAUGACAGCUUACAAAUGCCAUGGCAGUGUUCAGAAGUUACCCUAUAUAGUCUAAAAAGGGGAGGAACCCUCAGUUCCAGGAAUUCCCCACCCCUUUCCCAGAAAACUCAUGAAUGAUCUACCCUUUAUUUAGCAUAUGAUCAAGAAAUAACCAUAAGUAUACCCAGUCAGCAGCGCGUGCCGCUGCUGUGUCUAUGGAGUAGCCAUUCUUUUGUCUCUUUUACUUCUCUAAUAAACUUUAUUCUAUGAAUUUGCCCCCAAAUUCUUUCUUGCGCAAGAUCCAAGAACCCUCUUUUGGGGUCUGGACUGGGACCCCUAUCACCAUGCCUGGCUCAAGAAACAUUUGUUGAGUAAUGAUUUAUAGUGACUUUCUAUGUGCUCAUGUCUCACUCUUGUUCCAGUACCUGUAUGCUAAGCAGCCAUGCUACUGUCCUUCUGUGCUUCCCUACAUUCCAAGUUCAAGGGGACAGGAUGGUUUAUUGUUUCUUAAGUGCUUGUCUUUCUGGUCCUGUUUACAUGCAUCAUUAGCCCACAGGAAAGCACUCUGUUACAAAUGACUUUAGAAAUCACAAUCAUUAAAAUUGAAAACUUCCAUUUAAGCCAGACUACCCCUUUGUGAUGUUAAAAGUGUUGCCUCUGAGCUUCCAACCCCCUCUCUAUGAGGCCUAUUCCAGCUUUUAACCUACCGUGGGUGCGGGCUUUUCAUUUGGAGCCUCUUGUGAUCUUCAAGCUGUAAUUUUCGCAAGCAGGGCCCUAAAGCUCUUUAAUUUUUUUGUUUACCAGAAUUACUCAUUUCAUUUUUGUAUGUGCUUGGUAGAUGAAUUUUCUGUGGCAUCUUACAAAAUAAGGCCAUAAUACCUUAUGGCAUUAAAAAAAAGUUGGGGGGGGAGCAAAACCACCACAAAAAAAUUAACUGAACAAUUAAAAUAUUUAAAUUAGUAUUAGAAAGCUUAAAUGUAGGCAACAACUAAGUCAUCUCAAGCACAUUCAACAGGAAAAAGUAGAAAACAUACUAGAUAAGAACGUCAGAGAAUGGGGCAAGGACUGGGGGAGGUGAAGGAGGUGCAGAGCUGGAUCCUGUCUUUAUUUGAAAAUUUGAUUUUGUGUUCAAAUGUGAAUUAUUUCAUUUUGAUUUUUUUUUUUUUUUUUUUUGAGACGGAGUCUUGCUCUUGUCGCUCAGGCUGGAGUGCAAUGGUGCAAUCUCAGCUCACUGCAACCUCCGCCUCCCGGGCUCAAGCAAUUCUCCUGCUUCAUCCUCCCAAGUAGCUGGGAUUACAGGCACGGGCCACCAUGCC